GGAGUUAGCCGGUGCUUCUUCUGCGAGUAACGUCACAGAUGUAAGGUAUUAACUUACACCCUUUCCUCCUCGCUGAAAGUGCUUUACAACCCGAAGGCCUUCUUCACACACGCGGCAUGGCUGCAUCAGGGUUUCCCCCAUUGUGCAAUAUUCCCCACUGCUGCCUCCCGUAGGAGUCUGGGCCGUGUCUCAGUCCCAGUGUGGCUGAUCAUCCUCUCAGACCAGCUAGGGAUCGUCGCCUAGGUGAGCCUUUACCUCACCUACUAGCUAAUCCCACCUGGGCUUAUCCAUCAGCGCAAGGCCCGAAGGUCCCCUGCUUUCCCCCGUAGGGCCGUAUGCGGUAUUAGCAGUCGUUUCCAACUGUUAUCCCCCACAAAUGGGCAAAUUCCCAGGCAUUACUCACCCGUCCGCCGCUCGUCAUCUUCAAAGCAAGCUUUUGAAAUGUUACCGCUCGACUUGCAUGUGUUAGGCCUGCCGCCAGCGUUCAAUCUGAGCCAGAAUCAAACUCUGA
rnacentral:rRNA from 1 species